AACGAACGCUGGCGGCAUGCCUAACACAUGCAAGUCGAACGAACCCUUCGGGGUUAGUGGCGCACGGGUUCGUAACGCGUGGGAAUCUGCCCUUUGCUUCGGAAUAACUCAGGGAAACUUGUGCUAAUACCGGAUGAUGUCUUCGGACCAAAGAUUUAUCGGCAAGGGAUGAGCCCGCGUAGGAUUAGGUAGUUGGUGGGGUAAAGGCCUACCAAGCCGACGAUCCUUAGCUGGUCUGAGAGGAUGAUCAGCCACACUGGGACUGAGACACGGCCCAGACUCUUCCGGGAGGCAGCAGUGGGGAAUAUUGGACAAUGGGCGCAAGCCUGGUGCAGCAAUGCCGCGUGAGUGAUGAAGGCCGUCGGGUCGUAAAGCUCUUUUACCAGGGAUGAUAAUGACAGUACCUGGAGAAUAAGCUCCGGCUAACUCCGUG
rnacentral:rRNA from 1 species